rnacentral:tRNA from 1 species
UGAGCUGUAGUUUAAUUAUAAGCAUUCCGUUUACGUUGGAAAGAUCACUAAGUGUUGGUGUAGCUUA